UUAGUGGAAGCGUCUGGAAAGGCGCGCGAUACAGGGUGACAGCCCCGUACACAAAAGCGCAUGUGCUGUGAGCUCGAUGAGUAGGGCGGGACACGUGGUAUCCUGUCUGAAUAUGGGGGGACCAUCCUCCAAGGCUAAAUACUCCUGACUGACCGAUAGUGAACCAGUACCGUGAGGGAAAGGCGAAAAGAACCCCGGCGAGGGGAGUGAAAAAGAACCUGAAACCGUGUACGUACAAGCAGUGGGAGCCCCACCACUAAGCCAGUGGUGAACUCCACAUACGCAUCCUUUGCUGAGGAUGCGGUUAACGGAGCGAAAGCGACGUUCAACCGCAAAAGAAGCAGAGGGGGCUUAGUGGUGGGGUGACUGCGUACCUUUUGUAUAAUGGGUCAGCGACUUAUAUUCUGUAGCAAGGUUAACCGAAUAGGGGAGCCGGAGGGAAACCGAGUCUUAACCGGGCGUUAAGUUGCAGGGUAUAGACCCGAAACCCGGUGAUCUAGCCAUGGGCAGGUUGAAGGUUGGGUAACACUAACUGGAGGACCGAACCGACUAAUGUUGAAAAAUUAGCGGAUGACCUGUGGCUGGGGGUGAAAGGCCAAUCAAACCGGGAGAUAGCUGGUUCUCCCCGAAAGCUAUUUAGGUAGCGCCUCGUGAAUUCAUCUCCGGGGGUAGAGCACUGUUUCGGCUAGG
rnacentral:rRNA from 1 species